AAUGAACAGAUUCUCAGCAAAAGGACUCUAAGGAUGCAGAGGAAGGGAAGUCGCCCAAUCUGGGAAGGAGAUUACUCAGUCUCGGGUAUGUGUAUCAGCAAUGUGAAAACGGACUAGUACAUCUCUAGAGGCACAAGCCAUGUGGUCCAGCCAUAAUUAUUUGUUGUCACAACUAAGUUUCCUUUCUAUAUGAAAAGAUUAUAUUGAUCAGAAUUCUAA
rnacentral:lncRNA from 1 species